rnacentral:rRNA from 1 species
GUGCCAGCAGCCGCGGUAAUACGUAGGUGGCAAGCGUUAUCCGGAAUUAUUGGGCGUAAAGCGCGCGUAGGCGGUUUUUUAAGUCUGAUGUGAAAGCCCACGGCUCAACCGUGGAGGGUCAUUGGAAACUGGAAAACUUGAGUGCAGAAGAGGAAAGUGGAAUUCCAUGUGUAGCGGUGAAAUGCGCAGAGAUAUGGAGGAACACCAGUGGCGAAGGCGACUUUCUGGUCNNUGUAACUGAAGCGCUGAUGUGCGAAAGCGUGGGGAUCAAACAGGAUU